rnacentral:rRNA from 1 species
AUUGAACGCUGGCGGCAGGCCUAACACAUGCAAGUCGAGCGGAUGAAGGGAGCUUGCUCCUGGAUUCAGCGGCGGACGGGUGAGUAAUGCCUAGGAAUCUGCCUGGUAGUGGGGGAUAACGUCCGGAAACGGGCGCUAAUACCGCAUACGUCCUGCGGGAGAAAGUGGGGGAUCUUCGGACCUCACGCUAUCAGAUGAGCCUAGGUCGGAUUAGCUAGUUGGUGGGGUAAAGGCCUACCAAGGCGACGAUCCGUAACUGGUCUGAGAGGAUGAUCAGUCACACUGGAACUGAGACACGGUCCAGACUCCUACGGGAGGCAGCAGUGGGGAAUAUUGGACAAUGGGCGAAAGCCAGAUCCAGCCAUGCCGCGUGUGUGAAGAAGGUCUUCGGAUUGUAAAGCACUUUAAGUUGGGAGGAAGGGCAGUAAGUUAAUACCUUGCUGUUUUGACGUUACCAACAGAAUAAGCACCGGCUAACUUCGUG